UGCAACUGCUUGGCGUAGCGCCGAGCGCAAAGGCAGUCCUAGGUACGUAUCUGAACAUGACCGUCACUCCUGAGUAGCCCGGAGUGUCCUUGGACAGGCCGAAGCGUCUGGUCGUGGUACAGUGAGGAAGCAGCCACUCACGACUAGGGCAGACUCACAUCCCUCUGCCCUAAUGACUGGCCGCAGGGACCCUUGGACUCUGUCACAACCAGAAGACGUCACUUUGUAGUGAUGGACAGCGUCAUGGUGUGGACUGGGAGGAUGGGAAUCUGGUCACCUCACGGAGGCAGCAAACUGUUUUCUGGAAGGACUGAGUCCUUGGUCAAGUAGAGAGUAAGGGUCAGGACGGGCUCUGGUUCUGUGAGUCCGAGCACAGCAAACGCUUCACGCUCCAUCGCUCCUGAGCUUACAGCCCUGCUUCUGCACGAGUGGGAAGACUGAGGUGGAGGGUCUCCACUCCAGUCUCCAUCUCUGCCAACACAGUAGAGACACCAAGGCCCAUGUAGGUCACUGUUGCCAGAGGUGCUUGUGACAGAAGAAAAGCAAGGCUUCUCAUACAGCAGAAAACAGCCCAACCAUGGAGACGUAUGCACAACUCUUCUGUUCAGAUGCUGGGUAGGAAGUUGUGGUACCCAGAUGUCUCGUCCUACUCCCGGAAUCUCCUGGGCAGGAAGAAAUUCUGACUCUCCGUUACAGGAAGCUCCUUGCUGGGAGGAACCUUGGGCCUACCUCCUCCACCAGGGUGUCACAGAUUGUUUCUCCUUGAGGAUGAGCAGGCAUAAACCCUGUGUCAGGCAGGUCAACGCUCCACUUUCUCCUCCCUGUGUCGGCAUUGGUGGGAACAGCAGGAGUGACCCGGACAGGAAACUAUGGGGUUUCCUGUCCGGAAACCCCAAAGAGAAGCCACAAACGGAGUCAAGUAAUUCUCUCCCGGCUCUCCCUUUGUAGAGCGUAACCUGCAGCCCGGUGCUUAGCAGGGAAAGGUGAACUCCUUCGUUAGCUUCUCCAUAAGGGGUCUCUCCAGGGAUGUGGGGAGGGCAAUCAGGGUGCAGGCAACCCCCUGGCUCAGUCUGCGGGGGCAGAAGGAGAGCCACUGCCUCUCUUUCAAACCCGGAACUGCGCUAACCUCAGAAAAGUGCUGACGCACAGCCGGAAUGCGAUCAGACGCAUCUCUCCCAUUUCUCGCCGCUCUCCUUGAAAGCUACCAGUGUUUGAUGAGCAGAAACAAGCCGCCCUGCUGAGAUUUCCUGCUAGAGCCAAGUGUUUCUGCCGAGAGUGCUGAGCGGCCACCGUGCUGAAGAGCUAGCUUUGUGCCUUCAGUUCAGCGAGAGGCCUCCCCCUGGAUCAGCGGGGCCUGCAGGAUUUCUCAGCAUUCCUUCUUCACACGGUGGCCAUGUUUAAGUGUGUGUGGGGGCAUGCAUGUAUGUGUAUACACAGAUACACCUAUGUAUACAUCUACACAGCUCUUGCCACCCAAGGAUGGAGAGUUUGAUACGUUCCCUGGAGCUUCA